ensembl:lncRNA
CCCCUCCUAUCUGCCUGGUUUUCUGGUCAUUUCCCUUCUUCCAGAUGCUGCUUACUUCCUCCAGAAGAGGACCUGGGAGGGUGGAGACUGAGCCCACUCUCCUCCGCUGAUCUUCUAGAACUUUCUAGUCUCCAGUGCAGAGAUUCGGACUUUUCUGCUUGUGAUGUCUGUGCUCAGGAUGCACAAGCAGAGCCAACAGAGUGGGAAGACGACCCACACCAGGCCUGUGGGCCACGCCUGGAUGCUGGAGGCCUGCCUUUGCCAACCUCCAAAGGACUUCGAAGCCAGCAGAAACCACUACGCAGCUCACAUAAUGAUAGCUUUCUCCCUUCUUCUUCCAGACAGUUUGGAUCCUUAAAAAAAAAAAAAAAAUUGCUUUGGGGAAGCAGCAGAGGGUACAGGAAACUCAGAAACUGGCCGCCAAUGGAAAACAGGAAAGGAGCGCCUCUAAUUAAAAGCAGCCAGCUCUCUGCUCCAUCUGCAGCACUGGGAGCCUGGCUGAGAGGGGCUGUUCCCUCGCUGGCACUGUGGGCUGGGGGCCUGAAUAGACCCUACAGGGGAGCACUCGGGGCCCUGGAAGAGGAGAGUCAGGGUUUUGUCAGGUCCUCUCCCGAGCUGUCUGCACCCCAUCACAUUCCUCCCACCUGCAUCAAAGCCCAUGCUGGGCUCUGGGCUGGGUGCUCAGAUAUAUAGCAUUUGUCACAAGCUUCAGAGCCUCUCUGAGCCAUCUUCCGUAUCCUUUGUUGCAGACAGAAAAGUCUCCUUUCAAUUUUUCUAAGAAACACUCUGAGCACAAGGCAUUUACUGCAGAACAUGGUUGCUGGAGCCUGCAUUUCCGAGAUCUUCGCGCAGUUAUGCAUACGCGGGUACACAGCCAUGCUGUGUACAGAUCAGCGGUAUUGUAUUUAUUCUAUAGAAGGCUCAGAGAUGGUGAGCAACUGGCACAUGGCAAGUCACUCAUUCCCAUAAUACAUGAGUGUUACACGCCAUGGAAGCAUUAGAGAAACAAAGAUGAAAAAGAUAUUGUUCCUGUAAGAUUGUAAGGAAGGGAGAUACCUCUGGAUCCAACAGGAAUACAGCAGGAAAAGGGGCAGGAUAUGGCGCCAGAAAGGCAUAAAUCACACUCAGAGGAGGCAGAGAGUCAUUCUGCUGGGUGGAUGGCACAGGAGUGAGUUCAGACAUCACACUAGGGUGACAGGCUAAGUGGGGGUUUGUGGUAUUGAGGUUAAGUGUCUCAAUCAGGGAUAUUAGGCACAUUGUGGUGGUCAAAGGGCCAGCUGGGGGGAUUCCCGUUGUGGCUCAACAGGUUAAGAACAUGGCAUUGUGUCCGUGAGGAUGCGGGUUUGGUCUCUGGCCUCACUCAGUGGGUUAAGGAUCUGGCUUUGUCAAAAGUUGCAGCGUAGGUAGGUUGUAGUUUUGGCUUGGAUCCCAUGUUGCUGUGGCUGUGGUGUAGGCCUCAGCUGCAGCUCCAAUUAGACUCCUAGCCCAGGAACUUCCAUAUGCCUCGGGUUGGCCAUUAAAAAAAAAAAAAAAAAAAGGGCCAGUUGGCCUGGGGCACCCAGUAUAGACAGAACAGCACAGGGUUAGCCGUCAGGAGAGCCAAGCCUAGUGUGGCCCCUGACAUUAGCAAAAUUUGGGCAGGUCAUCUCACCUCUCAGAGCCAUCACCUAAGUUUCUCGUCUGAAACUGGGGC